ensembl:antisense Gm12534 predicted gene 12534
GGCGUGACUCACUCACUUUCUAAACUUUUACGCUGUCAUUUACCAUAAUUCUCUUCUUUGAGUGUCUCUGUGUGGUGCCCUCAUUACUGGCAAUACUCUCCUUGUUUUCCCGAUUUAUGCAAUUAAAGGCCUAGCUGUGCGAGCAUUUCCCCAGUUUCAUUUACAUUGGUACCAAGCUGAAGACCAGAAUAAAGAUGUUCUCAGGGCAGAGACAGCAGAAGCCCCUCCACACUGAAUGCCAAGCCACUCCUCCAUGGGAUAUGAGUGGCACAAGGGUUGGAAUGAGCUGUAGAGGCUGACCCUUUGGGAAGUUCAUCAAAGACAAGAAGACAGGAGACAAAGAGACAAGAAGACAGGAGACAGGAGACAAGAAGACAGGAGACAGGAGACAAGGAGACAAGGAGACAAGGAGACAAGGAGACUCACGGAGGCCCAGAUUUUCAGCUGUUCAACAAUGUCAAUAAGGUGACG